rnacentral:rRNA from 1 species
ACCCCACUGCUAUCGGGAUUGACUAAGACAUGCUAGUUGAGUGCUUCUUCUAAAAAGAGGCGCAGCGUACCGCUCAGUAACACGUGGCUAAUCUGCCCUUAGGACGAGAACAACCCCGGGAAACUGGGGCUAACUCUCGAUAGGUGAAGAACUCUGGAAUGAGUCUUCGCCCAAAAAGCUUCACGUUAUGCGCGUGAAGUUGCCUAAGGAUGAGGCCGCGACCGAUCAGGUUGUUGGUGAGGUAAUGGCUCACCAAGCCUUUUACCGGUGCGGGCCGUGAGAGCGGGAGCCCGGAGAUGGGCACUGAGACAAGGGCCCAGGCCCUACGGGGCGCAGCAGUCGCGAAAACUUUGCAAUACACGAAAGUGUGACAGGGCUAUCCCGAGUGCCAUCCGCUGAGGAAGGCUUUUACCCAGUCUAGAACGCUGGGGGAAUAAGGAGAGGGCAAGUCUGGUGUCAGCCGCCGCGGUAAUACCAGCUCUCCGAGUGGUGUGGAUGUUUAUUGGGCCUAAAGCAUCCGUAGCUGGCUAAGUUAGUCCCUUGUUAAAUCCACCGAAUUAAUCGUUGGAUUGCGGGGGAUACUGCUUGGCUAGGGGACGAGAGAGGCAGACGGUAUUCUCGGGGUAGGGGUGAAAUCCUAUAAUCCCGAGAAGAUCACCAGUGGCGAACGCUGUCUGCUAGAACGCGCCCGACGGUGAGGGAUGAAAGCUGGGGGAGCGAACCGUAUUAGAUACCCGGGUAGUCCCAGCUGUAAACGAUGCAGCUAAGUGUUUGGACAGCCACGUGGCGAUCUAGUGCCCCAGGGAAGCUGUU